UAAACACCGACAGUAGUCUACAAUCGCUGUCCGCCAGGGGACUACGAGCGCCAGCUUAAAACCCAAAGGACUUGGCGGUGCUUUAGACCCACCUAGAGGAGCCUGUUCUGGAACCGAUAUUCCCCGUUAAACCUCACCCUUCCUUGUCAACCCAGCCUAUAUACCGCCGUCGUCAGUUUACCCUGUAAGGGUCCCACAGUAAGCACAAUCGGUAAUACCCAAAACGUCAGGUCGAGGUGUAGCGAAUGGAAGGGGAAGAAAUGGGCUACAUUUACUGGUACAGUAAAUACGGAUGAUUACCCUGCAACGAGUAUCUGAAGGAGGAUUUAGCAGUAAGCAAAAAAUAGAGUGUUUUGCUGAAGUUGGC
rnacentral:rRNA from 1 species